AGAGGGUCUUUCCGAUUCUGUGGUGCGUGUUAACGAGCCCUGCCCAUCAUCACGCUCCAGGCUGGCAGCGAAUCGAAGCGUCUGGGAGGGCUGGAGGGGACGAGGGUGGCACCGAACGGCCCGCGCCUAGAGGCAAUUUUGGAUUUAUGCACUUGAUCAAAAGCCUGUUACCUAAUCUCCAAAAUGAGACCCCUCUCCAGUCAGUACAGAACAGGGGCCGCAGAUGCGGCUUGGAGGCCCCUUUUGUGAAGCCGGAGGUCUCUGAAGCCGUCCAUCCUUGGCCUUCCUUCUCCCUCUUGCCCUACCCCCUCCACUCAUCCCCUCGCCCUCACCCCUCUCCGCCUGUUCCCAGGACUAGGUCAAGGUGAUUUUCGAUUAACUCAGUAAGUCUGUGUUUGCAAACUUUCUCCUUUUAUGCCUUGUGUUUCUGGCUGUGCUGGGUGCCCUGCACCCUCCUGGUGCUGGUUCCUUUUGGAUGACGGGGUGCUAGAUUUUGGUUUGCCUUCCCCUUGGUUCUUGUGCUGGGGUUAAUGCCAGUGUUUGUGGUCUGGGUAUAGACUUUCGGGAAGCGCAGCCGUGAAGCUGUGGCUUCCAUCUCAAAUUUUCCUGAUAGUCUGCAGGCAUGGACUAUUCCCUCGUGGUGAGCUCCUGACUUCAAACCGGUCCAGAACAUUAGAGAAGAGAGGGGAUCCCUCAACAGGGCGUAGACGGGAGGGUAAGAUCUGGGGGUCGUGUUUUGCAGGGGCUAACAGCCCCUUCUUGCUGGCUGUCGCCCUCCCCAGCCUCUCCCUUUUGUCAUUCCUAUUCCCUGAGCUGUUUGGUUGCUGGAAAAAAAAAUCAUGAACAACACGUUGUGUAUGGGGUACAUGAGUGGGUGGAGCUUGUGGCUGGGCUGUUAUAGGAUGUUGCUGACCCAUUUUGCAUAUAAGCAGUGACAAGUUGAGGCUUGUUCUCCGGACGCAGUCUCGUGGUCUUAGGUCUGUUCUCAAGCUGGGACUGGCAGAGAAGGGGGCGGCAUGGAUCCUUGGUACCCUCUGUGUGGAAUUUCCCCAUCCUCAAGGAUUUAGUAGGAGGAAACCCUUCUGAGAGCAGCAGGACCAUCCUGACUGGGGACAUGCUAGGCUCCAGUAUUCGAGCUGCAUCCUGGAGGUCCAGUUGGAAUCAGGUUAAAAACCUUGGAGAGCUUUGUUGUGUCUCAGCUACUGCACCUGCAUGCUGAAGCAUCAAACCAGGACCCGUACAGUGUCUCAUCUACUUGGAAGCCUCUUCUUCCAACCGGCUGCCUGUGGCAGUGGACACCUCCAGUAGUCUCUCAUCUGCUUUUAUUUCUGCGUGUUCACACGUUGCUUUUGGAGAGGCCAGAAUCCUGUUAUACCAGUGAUUUAGAUUAUUUUAAUCUAAAAAAAAAACUGCCCAUUCACUCAGUGCUCCAGAAGGAGAACUGUCCUUCCCUGGACAGAAGCUGAAACAUUUGGAGACUUAAGGUCAUGCCUCCCAUCACAUUCAAGUUUGAAGUGAGACCUCUUAGCAUGGCAUCUGAGAUUCACCUCAACACCGCUGCAACUUGUGAUUCCGGUCUGAUUGCCUUUGGCUCCUGCGAUGAGUUGUCAGUUCUGAGACGCCACACAAAUGACACCAGCUCCAUGAAGCCUUCAUCAAUCAAAUAAAUACUCAUUUGCCCUCAUUCUGGAUCAGAGGCUAGACCUCCUCCUGCCGUGAGCCUGUGUACACGCUGACUGCUUUGGUCUGUGCCCAUUUCUCCUUACACACUGAGAGAAUUUCAAGAACCAAGACUGUGUGGAACCCUUCCCUGGCCAUUUCACUGCCUGCAUGGUUGAGUUCAGAAGUAUUCCCUGACCUGCAUACCUCCACAAUCCACAGGUGAUGUUUCAGAAGGAGACUGCUCCACAGCUGAAUCCUGGACUACAGGCCAGCUGGGACAAGCAGUAGGGCCCCAUCAGGCUUACACUGCAGAGAAACUGUCCGGUUUCUUCAGCCAAAGACUGUGUCAUGCAUUCCAGCUCUUGGUCAUUUCCUGUUGCCUUCAGCCAAAUAAUCAUAGUAUUUUCACUGAGAUGAAAACAUGUCCAAGCGGUGAAAUUAAUCUUACAGUGACCAGCGGAUACAUUUCCUUGAAUGUGGGAAGAAAGGAAAACAGGCCAGGGGAAUGGUAUUCAGGGAGCUGUACACUCUAAGUGCUCCACUGGCAUUCUAUUCAUUUAUUCGGUCAUGCAUGUCUACUCUCCACCAAUAUUUACUUGGUACUUUGCAUACAUUGUUCACCAGUCUAGGUGUUGAUGAUGUGGAAGUGAAUACAUCAGACAAAUACCUACACUGCUGAAGUUCAUGUUCUGGUGGCAGAGAGAAGCUAUGCUGGGAAAACUUAGUAGAAAAUUAUGUAAGUAAAAUACAUAUGCUUCCCAUUUGCCACUGCAGUGUAGGAUCCAAGGUGCCCUGAAUGCUCUCUCCUUCCCUUUACAGGACUGGAGGAAUAACACGAGUCAUUGUUAUCUGUGUCUCUUGUUAGUGGCCGCUUUAUCAUCAUCACAUAUCUCCAGUAAUCCUGAAGUCUAUUUUGUCUGAUACGUUUCUCAUUUGCCUAAUCUCUCU